rnacentral:rRNA from 1 species
AGCAAACAGGAUUAGAUACCUGGUAGUCCACGCCGUAAACGAUGUCGACUUGGAGGUUGUGCCCUUGAGGCGUGGCUUCCGGAGCUAACGCGUUAAGUCGACCGCUGGGGAGUACGGCCGCAAGGUUAAAACUCAAAUGAAUUGACGGGGGCCCGCACAAGCGGUGGAGCAUGUGGUUUAAUUCGAUGCAACGCGAAGAACCUUACCUACUCUUGACAUCCAGAGAACUUUCCAGAGAUGGAAGGGUGCCUUCGGGAACUCUGAGACAGGUGCUGCAUGGCUGUCGUCAGCUCGUGUUGUGAAAUGUUGGGUUAAGUCCCGCAACGAGCGCAACCCUUAUCCUUUGUUGCCAGCGGUUCGGCCGGGAACUCAAAGGAGACUGCCAGUGAUAAACUGGAGGAAGGUGGGGAUGACGUCAAGUCAUCAUGGCCCUUACGAGUAGGGCUACACACGUGCUACAAUGGCAUAUACAAAGAGAAGCGACCUCGCGAGAGCAAGCGGACCUCAUAAAGUAUGUCGUAGUCCGGAUCGGAGUCUGCAACUCGACUCCGUGAAGUCGGAAUCGCUAGUAAUCGUAGAUCAGAAUGCUACGGUGAAUACGUUCCCGGGCCUUGUACACACCGCCCGUCACACCAUGGGAGUGGGUUGCAAAAGAAGUAGGUAGCUUAACCUUCGGGAGGGCGCUUACCACUUUGUGAUUCAUGACUGGGGUGAAGUCGUAACAAGGUAACCA